rnacentral:rRNA from 1 species
UUAGGUCGGACCCGCUGAAUUUAAGCAUAUCAAUAAGCGGAGGAAGAGAAACCAACAGGGAUUCCCUUAGUAACGGCGAGCGAAGUGGGAAGAAGCCCAGGUCUGAAAUCUCCCCGUCGGCUUUGUCACGGCGGGGCGAAUUGUGGUCUGGAGAGGCGGAUUGUCCCGAUCCACUGCUUGCGAGCCCGAAGUUGACUUGGAACGGCACGCCAAAGAGGGUGAGAGCCCCGUAGGGCCCGGAAAUCGGAAGCAGCGGGACGAGGGUCCGUCCUCGUAGAGUCGGGUUGUUUGGGAAUGCAGCCCAAAGUGGGUGGUAGACUCCWCCAAGGCUAAAUACGGGCGCGAGACCGAUAGCUGACAAGUACCGUGAGGGGAAAGUUGA